GUAGGUGGCAAGCGUUGUCCGGGAAUUAUUGGGGCGUAAAGCGCGCGCAGGCGGUUCUUUAAGUCUGAUGUGAAAGCCCACGGGCUCAACCGUGGAGGGUCAUUGGAAACUGGAGAACUUGAGUACAGAAGAGGAAAGCGGAAUUCCACGUGUAGCGGUGAAAUGCGUAGAGAUGUGGAGGAACACCAGUGGCGAAGGCGGCUUUCUGGUCUGUAACUGACGCUGAGGCGCGAAAGCGUGGGGAGCAAACAGGAUUAGAUACCCUGGUAGUCCACGCCGUAAACGAUGAGUGCUAAGUGUCAGGGGGUUUCCGCCCCUUAGUGCUGCAGCUAACGCAUUAAGCACUCCGCCUGGGGGGUACGGCCGCAAAGGCUGA
rnacentral:rRNA from 1 species